rnacentral:tRNA from 1 species
GAAUUAAAUAGUUAAGUGCAUAUCCUGGAGAUUUUUAACAUAGUUACAUUGUAGAAUAAUUUAUUAUUUUUAAUUAAGUAUAAUGUUA